AUGGAGGACGGGGGCUCCGUCACAGACCACUUCGACGGCGUUGAGUUCCGGUGGGCGUUCAUGGAGGCUGGCGGCGAUGACGGCAAUAGGGCCAAGGGCGGGGGUGAGACGCUAGAGCUCAGCUUCGACGCGGAGCACGCGGACACCGCUCUCGACAAGUACGUGCCCUUCAUCAGCUCCACAGCGGAGGAGCUGCGGCGCCAGGACCGCGCGCUCAAGAUCUUCAUGAACGACUACGGGUUUUGGCAAGGCAUGAAUCACCACCACCCGGCCUCGUUCGAAACGCUCGCCAUGGAUCCAGGGCUGAAGCAGGCCGUCCUGGACGACCUCGAUCGGUUCCUCAAGAGGAAAGAGUACUACCAGCGGAUCGGAAAGGCUUGGAAACGCGGCUACCUGCUCUACGGCCCCCCUGGCACCGGCAAGUCCAGCCUCGUGGCCGCCAUGGCCAACCACCUUCGUUUCAACCUCUACGACCUCGAUCUCUCCAGUGUGCACGACAACUCGUGCCUGCAGAAGCUUCUCAUCGACAUGUCCAACAAGUCCAUCCUCGUCAUCGAAGAUAUUGACUGCAGUUUCGACACCAUGUCGAGAGAAGAUCGCAAGGACCACCCCGACGAGGACGACGGACGAGACAACCAAUCGGGAGAUGAGCGCAAGAUGACGCUGUCGGGGCUGCUCAACUUCAUCGACGGGCUGUGGUCGACCAGCGGCGAGGAGCGCAUCAUCAUCUUCACCACCAACUACAAGGACCGCCUCGAUCCGGCGCUGCUGCGGCCGGGGCGCAUGGACAUGCACGUCUACAUGGGUUACUGCUGCUGGGAGGCAUUCAGGAAGCUGGCCUGGAACUAUCACCUCAUCGACGACCACCCUCUGUUCCCAGGGAUACAGGAAUCACUUGCAGGGGUGGAGGUAACGCCCGCCGAGGUGUCCGAGAUGCUGCUACGGAGCGAGGACGCCGAUGUUGCGCUACGGGUACUUCUGGAAUUCCUCCAAGAACGAAGAGGGGCAAUAAAAGAGUCAGAGGACAAGCACGAUGCGUAG
rnacentral:rRNA from 1 species